CAGGGUUUAAAAUUUCGGCGGUAAACCGGCGAAAUUUCGGUGAAAAUUUCGUUUUCGGUAGUUACCGGUAUUUGGUUUACCGCUGUUUUUCGAGACUAUGCAUUUGCUACAUGGAUUAUGGAUGCACAAUACUUUCCAUUACAAUGGAUGCAAUAUGUUGUAUUAAACGGACUACAGACUUAAUUGUAAUAAUUUUAGUAGACUUUGCACUUGUGACUAAGUACGGGUGAACUUUAGACAUGAAUUAUGUGUUUCGUGUUUGUAUUUCUCAUUGUGUGCUGAAAUUUAUUAUAUGUUGUGUAUUAUAAUCUAUCAAUAUAGACAUAAUUAGGGCAAA